UAAAAGAGAGAUCAAGAAGAAAAGGAUGGUGGUGUGUAAAUAGUUUAGAAGUGUGAGCUAUUUAUACAUCAAAAAUCAUGUGAUUUAAAGACUCCAGCCCAUGCAUCAAGUGAUGUUUAACUAGUUUAGAAGUAAUAGAUUACGUCCAACAGCUCAAAUCAUUGAUGUAGGACCUUCAUCAUCCAAUAUAAGCCUAAAUGGUUCUGAGUAGAGAUCCAUUCAAGCAUAGCUAAGUCUAUCUAAAUCAUAUGAAAGAAAAAACAGAUGGAUCAUAGAAUGUCAUACCAGUCCAAACUGGGCGGUAUAGAGUGUACCGUACUGGUUUGGUGCUGAUAUUUGGUACGGGUGGCAUACUGAUACUCGGUACGCUAAAAAACCUCUGUACUGUACCGAUAUUUUAUUAGUGCGGCACUGAUACGGGGUCCGAUAUCGAAACGACGAACCUUGAGAUGGAUGACAACCUUUUUUCUUCAAUAAAAUUCUACGGAUGGCUUGUUAAUGGUUUGUUUCUACAUCAACCAUUACUCUUUAAUUGCAACAAAUAUAAACGAUAAUCAUGGAUUA
rnacentral:lncRNA from 1 species